ACCCUUUUGCUUAGCUGGCUGUCGGGGAGAGGUUCCCAGAUCUCUCUCGUGCCGCACGUGACCCACUCACUCUCUCAUUUCCUCAACUUCCAUUCCAUCCAUCCUCCCAAAAAGCCCAUCGCUCUCUUUCCUCAAACAAAAAACCCAAAUAAUCAAAUUCCUCUCUCUCUCUCUCUCUCUCUCUCUCUCUCUCUAUUCUGGUAUCUUCGCUCGCGUAUUGAUCAUUCCACGCUUUCCAUAACAGAUCAAUUCAGAUUCAAACGCUGCUCAGAUUCGGACUCAAAUGCUUCGAUCUACUCCUGGACGACGGUUACAUGGCCUUCAGUCUGA